GUGCCAGCAGCCGCGGUAAUACGUAGGGAGCGAGCGUUAUCCGGAUUUAUUGGGCGUAAAGCGUGCGUAGGCGGUUUAUUAAGUUUAAGAUGAAAGGCUGGGGCUCAACUCCAGUUUGUCUUAAAAACUGGUAAGCUUGAGUAUGGUAGAGGUAAAUGGAAUUUCUAGUGUAGCGGUGGAAUGCGUAGAUAUUAGAAGGAACACCAGUGGCGAAAGCGAUUUACUAGGCCAAAACUGACGCUGAGGCACGAAAGCGUGGGGAGCAAAUAGGAUUAGAUACCCUAGUAGUCCACGCCGUAAACGAUGAGUACUAAGUGUUGGGGAAACUCAGUGCUGAAGCUAACGUAUUAAGUACUCCGCCUGAGUAGUACGGUCGCAAGGCUGAA
rnacentral:rRNA from 1 species